rnacentral:rRNA from 1 species
CCUACGGGAGGCAGCAGUGGGGAAUUUUGGACAAUGGGGGCAACCCUGAUCCAGCAAUGCCGCGUGAGUGAAGAAGGCCUUCGGGUUGUAAAGCUCUUUUGUCAGGGAAGAAACGGUGCGAGCUAAUAUCUCGUGCUAAUGACGGUACCUGAAGAAUAAGCACCGGCUAACUACGUGCCAGCAGCCGCGGUAAUACGUAGGGUGCAAGCGUUAAUCGGAAUUACUGGGCGUAAAGCGUGCGCAGGCGGUUUUGUAAGACUGUCGUGAAAUCCCCGGGCUCAACCUGGGAAUGGCGAUGGUGACUGCAAGGCUAGAGUUUGGGCAGAGGGGGGUAGAAUUCCACGUGUAGCAGUGAAAUGCGUAGAUAUGUGGAGGAACACCGAUGGCGAAGGCAGCCCCCUGGGUCAAACUGACGCUCAUGCACGAAAGCGUGGGGAGCAAACAGGAUUAGAUACCCUGGUAGUCCACGCCCUAAACGAUGUCUACUAGUUGUCGGGUUUUAAUUAACUUGGUAACGCAGCUAACGCGUGAAGUAGACCGCCUGGGGAGUACGGUCGCAAGNUUAAAACUCAAAUGAAAUUGACCGG